UGAGGAAUAUUGGACAAUGGGCGCAAGCCUGAUCCAGCAAUGCCGCGUGCAGGACGAAGGCCUUCGGGUUGUAAACUGCUUUUGUACGGAGCGAAAAGGUCUGCCCUAAUACGGUGGGCUCAUGACGGUACCGUAAGAAUAAGCACCGGCUAACUACGUGCCAGCAGCCGCGGUAAUACGUAGGGUGCGAGCGUUAAUCGGAAUUACUGGGCGUAAAGCGUGCGCAGGCGGUUAUAUAAGACAGAUGUGAAAUCCCCGGGCUCAACCUGGGACCUGCAUUUGUGACUGUAUAGCUAGAGUACGGUAGAGGGGGAUGGAAUUCCGCGUGUAGCAGUGAAAUGCGUAGAUAUGCGGAGGAACACCGAUGGCGAAGGCAAUCCCCUGGACCUGUACUGACGCUCAUGCACGAAAGCGUGGGGAGCAAACA
rnacentral:rRNA from 1 species